rnacentral:rRNA from 1 species
GACGAACGCUGGCGGCGUGCUUUACACAUGCAAGUCGAACGGAAAGGCCCUGCUUUUGUGGGGUGCUCGAGUGGCGAACGGGUGAGUAACACGUGAGUAACCUGCCCUUGACUUUGGGAUAACUUCAGGAAACUGGGGCUAAUACCGGAUAGGAGCUCCUGCUGCAUGGUGGGGGUUGGAAAGUUUCGGCGGUUGGGGAUGGACUCGCGGCUUAUCAGCUUGUUGGUGGGGUAGUGGCUUACCAAGGCUUUGACGGGUAGCCGGCCUGAGAGGGUGACCGGCCACAUUGGGACUGAGAUACGGCCCAGACUCCUACGGGAGGAAGCAGUGGGGAAUAUUGCACAAUGGGCGGAAGCCUGAUGCAGCAACGCCGCGUGCGGGAUGACGGCCUUCGGGUUGUAAACCGCUUUCGCCUGUGACGAAGCGUGAGUGACGGUAAUGGGUAAAGAAGCACCGGCUAACUACGUG